rnacentral:tRNA from 1 species
UGGGGCGUCGUCUAACGGUAGGACACCUGGUUUUGGUCCAGGUAGUUGGGGUUCGAUUCCCUACGCCCCAG